GUCCCAGAUACCUCUGACCACAGACAAGCCGCAAAACACUGCUCUAUACUACCGAGUGCCUUUAGUGACCCACAGCACAGCUAAGACGUCCAGGAACCAUCUACAGAUUCUUCCCAGGUUGGGGAUUGAGGGGCUCUUGAUCCAGUGGAGUCCUAUCUGCCGGUCUCCACCUCUCGGAAUCUCGAGGGGAAAUGAGGCUUCCCUUCGACUUCUGAGCUCAGCCAGACCCCACCCGGGGCCCCAGGGGACGCCUGCUCAGAGAUGGAGUGAUUAGGAAGCAGGGGGCGCAGACAGCCACCCCAAGGAGCUGCUCCAGAGAACACCAGCUGAAAGUAAAUGUCCUUGAGGGCCCCAGCAUUCUCCUCAUCAUUAAUGCAUGGGCAUGAUCAUCCAGGCUUCAGAACCUGCCUGAAAGAGAUGCCGGAAGAAUCAGCAAACACCAGGGAAGCAGAGGACACAAGCUUGGAUGUGAAAUAGCAACAUCUUGUGCAUUGAAGAAUAAUAAAGUUUUUAAUUACAAAAGAAAA